AGGGCAAGUCUGGUGCCAGCAGCCGCGGUAAUUCCAGCUCCAAUAGCGUAUAUUAAAGUUGUUGCAGUUAAAAAGCUCGUAGUUGAAUUUCGGGAUCAAUUUACUGGUCGUGCAAUCGUACGUACUGGUUUUAUUGAUUCCUCUCUUCUGAAGAACUAUGAUGUCAUUAAUUUGGUGUCAUAGGGAAUCAGGACUGUUACUUUGAAAAAAUUAGAGUGUUUAAAGCAGGCUCACGCUUGAAUACAUUAGCAUGGAAUAACGAAAUAGGACGUUUGAUUCUAUUUUGUUGGUUUCUAGGAUCGACGUAAUGAUUAAUAGGGAUAGUUGGGGGCAUUAGUAUUCAAUUGUCAGAGGUGAAAUUCUUGGAUUUAUUGAAGACUAACUACUGCGAAAGCAUUUGCCAAGGAUGUUUUCAUUAAUCAAGAACGAAAGUUAGGGGAUCGAAGACGAUCAGAUACCGUCGUAGUCUUAACCAUAAACUAUGCCGACUAGGGAUCGGAUGAUGUUAAAUUAAUGACUCAUUCGGCGCCUUACGGGAA
rnacentral:rRNA from 1 species